rnacentral:rRNA from 1 species
GAUCAUGGCUCAGAUUGAACGCUGGCGGCAGGCCUAACACAUGCAAGUCGAGCGGAUGAAGAGAGCUUGCUCUCUGAUUCAGCGGCGGACGGGUGAGUAAUGCCUAGGAAUCUGCCUGAUAGUGGGGGACAACGUUUCGAAAGGAACGCUAAUACCGCAUACGUCCUACGGGAGAAAGCAGGGGACCUCGGUCCGUUGUCGCUAUCAGAUGAGCCUACGGUUCGGGAGUUAGU